UUACGUGAUACAAACAAUACUGACGUGC
rnacentral:sRNA from 1 species